rnacentral:rRNA from 1 species
UACGUAGGGUGCAAGCGUUUGUCCGGAAUUAUUGGGCGUAAAGAGCUCGUAGGCGGUUUGUCGCGUCUGCUGUGAAAACGCGAGGCUCAACCUCGCGCCUGCAGUGGGUACGGGCAGACUAGAGUGCGGUAGGGGAGAUUGGAAUUCCUGGUGUAGCGGUGGAAUGCGCAGAUAUCAGGAGGAACACCGAUGGCGAAGGCAGAUCUCUGGGCCGGUAACUGACGCUAGGAGACGAAAGCGUGGGGAGGCGAACAGG